UAAAAACAGUUUGGGUCCAUCCGUCCUUUCCGAGCCCACCCAGACCCAGCCGACUUUGCCAUGCCCGAGAAUGUGGCACCCCGGAGCGGGGCGCCUGCCGGGUCUGCCAGCAGCCGCGGAAAAGGCGCCUAUCAGGACCGCGACAAGCCAGCCCAGAUCCGCUUCAGCAACAUUUCCGCCGCCAAAGCGGUUGCUGUUGCUAUUAGAACAAGCCUUGGACCAAAAGGAAUGGAUAAAAUGAUUCAAGAUGGAAAAGGUGAUGUAACCAUUACAAAUGAUGGUGCUACCACUCUGAAACAAAUGCAAGUGUUACAUCCAGCAGCCAGAAUGCUGGUGGAGCUGUCUAAGGCUCAAGAUAUAGAAGCAGGGGAUGGCACCACAUCAGUAGUCAUCAUUGCUGGCUCCCUCUUAGAUUCGUGUACCAAGCUUCUUCAGAAAGGGAUUCAUCCAACCAUCAUUUCUGAGUCAUUCCAGAAGGCCCUGGAAAAGGGCAUUGAAAUCUUGACUGACAUGUCUCGACCUGUGGAACUGAGUGACAGAGAAACUUUGUUAAAUAGUGCAACCACUUCACUGAACUCAAAGGUUGUUUCUCAAUAUUCAAGUCUGCUUUCUCCAAUGAGUGUAAAUGCAGUGAUGAAAGUGAUUGACCCAGCCACAGCCACCAGUGUAGAUCUUAGAGAUAUUAAAAUAGUUAGGAAGCUUGGUGGGACAAUUGAUGACUGUGAGUUGGUGGAAGGGCUGGUUCUCACCCAAAAAGUAUCAAAUUCUGGCAUAACCAGAGUUGAAAAGGCCAAGAUUGGGCUUAUUCAGUUUUGCUUAUCUGCUCCCAAAACAGAUAUGGAUAAUCAAAUAGUGGUUUCUGACUAUGCCCAGAUGGACCGAGUGCUGAGAGAAGAGAGAGUCUAUAUUUUAAAUUUAGUGAAGCAAAUUAAAAAAACAGGAUGUAAUGUCCUUCUCAUACAGAAGUCUAUUCUAAGAGAUGCUCUUAGUGAUCUUGCAUUACACUUUUUGAACAAAAUGAAGAUUAUGGUGAUUAAGGAUAUUGAAAGAGAAGACAUUGAAUUUAUUUGUAAGACAAUUGAAACCAAGCCAGUUGCUCAUAUUGACCAAUUUACUGCUGACAUGCUGGGUUCUGCUGAGUUAGCUGAGGAGGUCAAUUUAAAUGGUUCUGGCAAACUGCUCAAGAUUACAUGUUGUGCCAGCCCUGGAAAAACAGUUACAAUUGUUGUUCGUGGUUCUAACAAACUGGUGAUUGAAGAAGCAGAGCGCUCCAUUCAUGAUGCCCUAUGUGUUAUUCGUUGUUUAGUGAAGAAGAGGGCUCUUAUUGCAGGAGAUGGUGCUCCAGAAAUAGAGUUGACCCUAUGAUUAACUGAAUAUUCACAAACACUGAGUGGUAUGGAAUCCUACUGCAUUCGUGCUUUUGCAGAUGCUAUGGAGGUCAUUCCAUCUACACUAGCUGAAAAUGCCGGCCUGAAUCCCAUUUCUACAGUAACAGAACUAAGAAACCGGCAUGCCCAGGGAGAAAAAACUUCAGGCAUUAAUGUCCGAAAGGGUGGUAUUUCCAACAUUUUGGAGGAACUGGUUGUCCAGCCUCUGUUAGUGUCAGUCAGUGCUCUGACUCUUGCAACUGAAACUGUUGCGGAGCAUUCUGAAAAUCAAUGAUGUGGUAAACACUCGAUAAUCUGGAUAACUGACUAGCACCAUUAUGGUCACCAGUAUUGCUGCUGGCGUGGAAGAAGAUCACAUUGGUGUUCCUUGUUUGGAAGAUUAUUUCCUCUGAAUUUUUGGGCUUGGUCUUCCAGUUGGCAUUUGCCUGAAGUUAUAUUGAAACAAUUUAAUGAAAAUAUUAAAUAUUUGGUUUCAA